GACGAAGCGACGCCGCGUGUGGGAAGAAGGCCUUCGGGUUGUAAACCACUGUCGGGAGUUAGGAAAUGCAGGUGCGUUAAUAGCGCACUUGCUUGACUAAGGCUCCAGAGGAAGCCACGGCUAACUCUGUGCCAGCAGCCGCGGUAAUACAGAGGCGGCAAGCGUUGUUCGGAAUUAUUGGGCGUAAAGAGCACGUAGGCGGCCUUGCAAGUCAGUUGUGAAAGCCUUCCGCUUAACGGAAGAACGGCAUCUGAUACUACAGGGCUUGAGUACGGGAGGGGAGAGUGGAACUUCUGGUGGAGCGGUGAAAUGCGUAGAUAUCAGAAGGAACGCCGGCGGCGAAAGCGACUCUCUGGUCCGAAACUGACGCUGAGUGUGCGAAAGCUAGGGGAGCAAACGGGAUUAGAUACCCCGGUAGUCCUAGCCGUAAACGAUGGGCACUAAGUAGAGGGGUUU
rnacentral:rRNA from 1 species